AGACCCGAAACCCGGUGAUCUAGCCAUGGGCAGGUUGAAGGUUGGGUAACACUAACUGGAGGACCGAACCGACUAAUGUUGAAAAAUUAGCGGAUGACCUGUGGCUGGGGGUGAAAGGCCAAUCAAACCGGGAGAUAGCUGGUUCUCCCCGAAAGCUAUUUAGGUAGCGCCUCGUGAAUUCAUCUCCGGGGGUAGAGCACUGUUUCGGCUAGGGGGCCAUCCCGGCUUACCAACCCGAUGCAAACUGCGAAUACCGGAGAAUGUUAUCACGGGAGACACACGGCGGGUGCUAACGUCCGUCGUGAAGAGGGAAACAACCCAGACCGCCAGCUAAGGUCCCAAAGUCAUGGUUAAGUGGGAAACGAUGUGGGAAGGCCCAGACAGCCAGGAUGUUGGCUUAGAAGCAGCCAUCAUUUAAAGAAAGCGUAAUAGCUCACUGGUCGAGUCGGCCUGCGCGGAAGAUGUAACGGGGCUAAACCAUGCACCGAAGCUGCGGCAGCGAACGUAUCACCCAAGACAACUUUGCGGAGUUGACGAUUGACGGAGCGAAGCGACGUCAAAGCGUUCAUUAAAGUCGAGUUGGCUUAGGGAUACGUUCGUUGGGUAGGGGAGCGUUCUGUAAGCCUGUGAAGGUGUGUCGUGAGGCAUGCUGGAGGUAUCAGAAGUGCGAAUGCUGACAUAAGUAACGAUAAAGCGGGUGAAAAGCCCGCU
rnacentral:rRNA from 1 species